AUUUAUAUAGUUUAAAAAAACAUUACAUAUUCAUUGUAAAAAUAAAAAAAAAUUUUUUAUAAAUA
rnacentral:tRNA from 1 species